AUUGAAUUUGACAAAAAUUUUUGGAAAUGCUUUGAAAAGUGUUACAUCUAAUUACUCUCUUGUAUUGGCUGCAUAAGAUGUCUUUUUUGAUUAAGAGACCGAAUAAUUCCUCAGCCUUCGUUAAACAACAAGAGAGUGAGAGAAAAGUAUAUCUCCCCAUUACCCAAGCUGGGAGUAAUAGGAAGUAUGAAUCUUAUAGGAUAUUUUAGUACUUCUGAUAGUGCAAUGUAUCAUUCAAUAAGUUUUUUUGUCUUCACUUAAAAAGUGACUUUAAUAGAGAACCUUCCCCACACACAAGUGAAAAGUAACAGAUGGUGUGUUUUCUGUUCUUCACAUAAAUAUUUUUGGUGAAAGGGAUUUAGGAGGAUAUAUUGUGUCAGCAUGAUAGAGAAGAAGGAUCACAGAGUUCACAGGCAUAAAAAUGAGUUCCAGUUCUGUCACGAAUUGGCAUUGACUUCCCUGGUGGCUCAGAUGGUAAAGCGUCUGCCUGCAAUAUGGGAGACCCUGGUUCGAUCCCUGGGUUGGGAAGAUCUCCUGGAGAAGGAAAUGGCAACCCACUCCAGUAUUCCUGCUUGGAGAAUCCCAGGGACAGAGGAGCCUGGUACGCUACAGUCCAUGGGGUCCCAAAGAGUUGGACACGACUGAGUGACUUCACUUUAGGCGGGGGCCAGUGCAGGACAGCCAAGGG
ensembl:lncRNA